CAAUAGCGUAUAUUUAAGUUGUUGCAGUUAAAAAGCUCGUAGUUGGAUUUCGGUUAAGAGCGACCGGUCCGCCGUUUGGUGUGCACUGGUUGGUUUUAACUUCCUGUAGAGGACGUGCUCUGGGUUUAACGACCUGGACUCGGAGUCUACGUGGUUACUUUGAAAAAAUUAGAGUGUUCAAAGCGGGCUUACGCUUGAAUAUUUCAGCAUGGAAUAACACUAUAGGACUCCUGUCCUAUUUCGUUGGUCUCGGGACAGGAGUAAUGAUUAAGAGGAACAGUUGGGGGCAUUCGUAUUUCAUUGUCAGAGGUGAAAUUCUUGGAUUUAUGAAAGACGAACUUCUGCGAAAGCAUUUGCCAAGGAUGUUUUCAUUA
rnacentral:rRNA from 1 species